AUUGAACGCUGGCGGCAGGCCUAACACAUGCAAGUCGAACGAGUGGCGGACGGGUGAGUAAUGUCUGGGAAACUGCCCGAUGGCGGGGGAUAACUACUGGAAACGGUAGCUAAUAACGCAUACCAUCGGAUGUGCCCAGAUGGGAUUGGCUUGUAGGUGAGGUAACGGCGCACCUAGGCGACGAUCCCGAGCCGGUCGGAGAGGAUGACCAGCCACACGGGAACUGAGACACGGUCCAGACUCCUACGGGAGGCAGCAGUGGGGAAUAUUGCACAAUGGGCGAAAGCCUGAUGCAGCCAUGCCGCGUGGAUGAAGAAGGCCUUCGGGUUGUAAAGUACUUUCAGCGGGGAGGCGUUACCCGCAGAAGAAGCACCGGCUAACUCCGUGCCAGCCGCCGCGGUAAUGC
rnacentral:rRNA from 1 species